GAGCAGAUUGUUUGAGACAAGGAGCAAUAUUUUGUUCCAGCCCAGCAGUCAGUGGGGCUCUGCUGAAUUUGUCAAGAUUAUUUUCCCAUGCCCCUGGUGAGAUGCGAAGACUUCCAGAGCCCGACUGGGGUUGUGUCAAUCCCCUCUCCUGCCCGAUGGUGCGCUGAGGCAGUUUACUUUGGUGCUAUUGUCUUCUUCACUUUCACCACCAGUGAGGACCUUCAAGACAGCGUCUGAGGGUUCAACCUUCCCCACUGCUACGGAGGACAGGAUGGCUCCUAGAGUCACCAUUCCCAGGAUCCCUCUGUUUUAAACACAAACAUAACCACACAAAGAUGACUGUGAUACACAUGUCCACCAAGCUGCUGUCUGUAUAUGUGGACUAUGUAUCUAUUUAUUCAAAAAAACUAUAAGACAAACACUGAUAAAAAGCAUAGAAUGC